rnacentral:rRNA from 1 species
GAUGAACGCUGGCGGCGUGCCUAAUACAUGCAGGUCGAGCGAACAGACGAGGAGCUUGCUCCUCUGACGUUAGCGGCGGACGGGUGAGUAACACGUGGAUAACCUACCUAUAAGACUGGGAUAACUUCGGGAAACCGGAGCUAAUACCGGAUAAUAUAUUGAACCGCAUGGUUCAAUAGUGAAAGACGGUUUUGCUGUCACUUAUAGAUGGAUCCGCGCCGCAUUAGCUAGUUGGUAAGGUAACGGCUUACCAAGGCAACGAUGCGUAGCCGACCUGAGAGGGUGAUCGGCCACACUGGAACUGAGACACGGUCCAGACUCCUACGGGAGGCAGCAGUAGGGAAUCUUCCGCAAUGGGCGAAAGCUUGACGGAGCAACGCCGCGUGAGUGAUGAAGGUCUUCGGAUCGUAAAACUCUGUUAUUAGGGAAGAACAAAUGUGUAAGUAACUAUGCACGUCUUGACGGUACCUAAUCAGAAAGCCACGGCUAACUACGU